rnacentral:rRNA from 1 species
GCGAAGGUACGCAAUUCCCUGGUCUUUUAAUGGAGAACUGGUUGAAUGGGACGACCAGGGGUUUACGGUCUCUUUUUUCCGUUCAUGGAAUUUGACUUUCCGUGGCAAAACCGGAAAAAUAACCAUAGAAGAAAAAAACCCGGGGAACUUUCAAACCCUAAAUCACCCUUGGUCAAAAAUCCCAUUUAAGGGAUGGAACCCUAAAUGGAAACUGGAUUAAUGGUCUUCGGUGGGGGCAACUUGGGGAAAAAAAAAACCCCCCUGGCGAACCAAAAUUCCCAUGUUUCCAAAAUAAAAACCCCCCCCUCAAAGUAUCAAAAUUUUUGCCCAACUAUGUGAUCCGGCUUAACGCCGAUCAACGGACCGAGUUCCCCCA